rnacentral:tRNA from 1 species
UGCCGGUGGUUGAGGAAGAAGAACCGUUUGGGAUGGUGCAGUUUUCAGGGACUUGUGCUUGGGUUCCGGUUCCGGGUUGGCAG